GCAGCUGUAGCUCAGUUGGUUAGAGCGCCUGACUGUGGAUUAGGAGGUCGGUGGUUCGAAUCCACCCAGCUGUACCA
rnacentral:tRNA from 1 species